rnacentral:rRNA from 1 species
UACAGAGGUGGCAAGCGUUGUUCGGAAUUACUGGGCGUAAAGGGCGCGUAGGCGGCCAUCUAAGUCAGACGUGAAAUCCCCCGGCUUAACCUGGGAACUGCGUCUGAUACGGGACGGCUAGAGUAUGGGAGAGGGAUGUAGAAUUCCAGGUGUAGCGGUGAAAUGCGUAGAUAUCUGGAGGAAUACCGGUGGCGAAGGCGGCAUCCUGGACCAUUACUGACGCUGAGGCGCGAAAGCUAGGGGAGCAAACGGG